ensembl:lncRNA
AAUGGAAAUCAUAAACAGUUUCAGCUGCAGGAUGCAAUGCUGAUAUGCUUUGUAAUGACUUAGGAGAGGAAACACCACCUUCUGCAUCAUUUAUACUAGCAUAAGGAAAGGGCUGAGGUAUUUAAUGUGUGGUUUUUUUUUCUUGUUGGUGUUUUUUGUUGGUGUUUUUUGUUUGUUUGUUUGUUUGUUUAGCCUCAGUUUUUAAUAUCAGUGAUAGAUUUUGGGCUGCUGAGUCCUCUGAAUUAGAGGACCAAGACCAGAAGAGCAGUGACUUCCCAACUGUGGCCACAGAAAUUGUAAAGAAACAGUUGUAUAAGCUCAAUGUUCAAAAGUCUAUAGGGCCUGAUGUGAUUCAUCCUAGAGUGCUGAAGGAGUUAAUAGAUGGUAUAGCUGGACCCUUUCCAACAACUUGCCAAAGGUAGUGGGAGGCCACUGCUGGCUUGAAUCUAGACACUGUUACACUGAUCAACACUAAGGCAGGAGAGAGUACCCAGAAAACAGACCUGAUAGUCUGUUAGUCUUAAGGAUAUUAUCUGCUAUUGGAAGAUACUUAAAGAACAAAGACUUUAUCAGGCAUAGUCAGCAGGAAUUCAUGAAAGGCAUGUCCUGCCUUAGUAUUUUUAUCUCCUAUUGUAAGAUCUUUGGCUUCGUGGAUGAAGAGAAGACAGUGAAUGCAAUCUUUCUGGAUUUUAAUAAGAUGUUUGAUACCUUCUCUCACAGCAUCCUUCUGGAGAAACUGCUCAACUAUGAGCCAGCAGUGUGUCCUGACAGCCAAAAGGACAAACCACAUUUUGGGGUGUGUUAGACACAGCACAGCCAGCUGCUCAAAAGAGGCAAUUCUUCAGCUAUAUUUAGUGCUGGUGCAACCACCUCUUAAAUACCAUGUGCAGUUCUGUGCUCCACAAUAUAGAGGGAAAGUUAAAAUACUUGAAUGGAUGCAAAAGAGGGUAUCAAAGCUGGUAAAAGUGCUAGAAGAUGUGUCCUGGGAGGAAAAGCUGAGGAUGUUCUGGCUGACUGGUAUAGAUGAAAGGAGGUAACGUUAUUUGUCUCUAAAACUUCCUGAAGGGAAAUGGAGAGAGAGGUGCCAUUUACUUUUUCCUGCUAACAGAUGAAAGGACACAAAGGAACAGCACAAAGAUAUGAUAAGGGAGGUUCAGACUGGGUAACAGGAAAAAUUAGAGUGAAGGUGGUUGAAAACAGGAGAGGCUUCCUAGUGAGGCAGUUCAUGUCCCAUGCCUGUCAGUGUUCGAGGGACAUUUGGACAAUGCCCUAUUAAUAUUCUUCAUCUUUUUGCUAACUCUCAGACAGUUAAUUACAUGCUCUUCGUAGGUCCCCUCCACCUCUCCUGUCGUCUCCUCUCCUCUCCUGUCGUCUCCUCUCCUGUCGUCUCCUCUCCUGUCGUCUCCUCUCCUGUCGUCUCCUCUCCUGUCGUCUCCUCUCCUCUCCUCUCCUCUCCUCUCCUCUCCUCUCUCCUCUCCUCUCCUCUCCUCUCCUCUCCUCUCCUCUCCUCUCCUCUCCUCUCCUCUCCUCUCCUCUCCUCUCCUCUCCUCUCCUCUCCUCUCUUCUCAAGUGAGGAUGGGGCUUAGCCCUGAAGUUUUCAAGGGUUCCCCUUGCAUGCAGGAGGAACAGGGGUGCCCUCCGGCUGAGGAGAGGACCCCGUGCGUGGAGGUGAGAUGGGGUUUAGCCCUAAAGAUUUCAAGGGUUCCCCUUGCGUGCGGGUGGAACAGGGGUGCCCUCCGGCUGAGGAGGGGACCCCGUGCGUGGGGUAGGAGUCCCUGGUGAAGGGGUUUCUCCCCUGAGUGUGCGUGUGUGUGUGUGUACCUGUUUCUUGUUGCAUUUUCAAGUCCACUGACACCUUCAUAGCCGAGGUGGCCUUGCUCUUGUUUAGGGUCUGUCCCUGCUCUCGUCUUCAUGCCCAUCUUCUGUCUGACGGCCAUAUGAACUUAUCUGAGGCUGAGCUUCUGGCUGGUAUUGCGCUUUUCUCGCAAGGAUCUCCUCUUACACAGGACAAGCCGUUAGGAGGAUGACAGCAACGACGGAUGUUAAUGAAGACCUUCCUGCAGAAGAAAAGAGAAAGAACGUGGGGAGAGGGGUGCCCUCCAGCUGAGGAGGGGACCCCGUGCGUGCGGGUGAGAUGGGGCUUAGCCCUGAAGUUUUCUAGGGUUCCCCUUGCGUGCGGGUGGAACUGGGGUGCCCUCUGGCUGAGGAGAGGACCCCGUGCAUGGAUGUCAGAUGGGGCUUAGCCCUGAAGUUUUCUAGGGUUCCCCUUGUUUGCAAGUAGAACUGCGGUGCCCUCCGACUGAGGAGAGGACCCCGUGCGUGCGGGUGAGAUGGGGCUUAGCCCUGAAGUUUUCUAGGGUUCCCCUUGCAUGUGGGUCAAACUGGGGUGCCCUCCGGCUGAGGAGGGGACCCCGUGCGUGGAGGUGAGAUGGGGCUUAGCCCUGAAGUUUUCGAGGGUUCCCCUUGCGUGCGGGUGGAAAUGGGGUGCCCUCCGGCUGAGGAGGGGACCCCGUGCGUGGAGGUGAGAUGGG